UCGAGCGAACAGAUAAGGAGCUUGCUCCUUUGACGUUAGCGGCGGACGGGUGAGUAACACGUGGGUAACCUACCUAUAAGACUGGGACAACUUCGGGAAACCGGAGCUAAUACCGGAUAAUAUGUUGAACCGCAUGGUUCAAUAGUGAAAGAUGGUUUUGCUAUCACUUAUGGAUGGACCCGCGCCGUAUUAGCUAGUUGGUGAGGUAACGGCUUACCAAGGCAACGAUACGUAGCCGACCUGAGAGGGUGAUCGGCCACACUGGAACUGAGACACGGUCCAGACUCCUACGGGAGGCAGCAGUAGGGAAUCUUCCGCAAUGGGCGAAAGCCUGACGGAGCAACGCCGCGUGAGUGAUGAAGGUCUUAGGAUCGUAAAACUCUGUUAUUAGGGAAGAACAAACGUGUAAGUAACUGUGCACGUCUUGACGGUACCUAAUCAGAAAGCCACGGCUAACUACGUGCCAGCAGCCGCGGUAAUACGUAGGUGGCAAGCGUUAUCCGGAAUUAUUGGGCGUAAAGCGCGCGUAGGCGGUUUUUUAAGUCUGAUGUGAAAGCCCACGGCUCAACCGUGGAGGGUCAUUGGAAACUGGAAAACUUGAGUGCAGAAGAGUAAAGUGGAAUUCCAUGUGUAGCGGUGAAAUGCGCAGAGAUAUGGAGGAACACCAGUGGCGAAGGCGACUUUCUGGUCUGUAACUGACGCUGAUGUGCGAAAGCGUGGGGAUCAAACAGGAUUA
rnacentral:rRNA from 1 species